UCACAGUACAAGAUUUAAUAGAAUCCAAUCUAUCUCUAGACGUUUACCAAUCUUUCAUCUCGGCUUUUCCCUAUUUGUGGGACUAGCACCGAAUUGGUAAUAUCAAUCAUUACUUCUUCUUUUCUUUUUUUCUUUUUUCUUUCACUUCAUUUUCGUUUUAUUGCGUUCCAUCAUUAAAUGAUCGACACAGCCAACAUAAAAUCUCCCCUGUAACUGGGCGUUUUAGUCUCUCGGGAAAUGCAAAUGAACAGUUCGUGAACAUGGGCCACGUUGGUUAGCAAUUCUGUUGUGCUUAAUAUCCCUUUUCACUCCAAUUUUGUUUUGGCUGGCGAUCUUUUACAUCAACUUCAAACAAGCCUAAUCAGACGUUAACACACCGUCUGCGGCCCAUUACAUGUUCUAGCAAAUAAGGGAAAGUACAUUUGAGCAUGUGAAUUUAUCUUGAAGAUCGACGAGGAACCAAGGAAAUCAUAAUCAUCAUAAGCAUUUAACCUGAUAAAACAGUCCAAAGCUCCAGGAAUAAUCUUUGCUAGCGAGUGAAUAACAUGUCCCUCAUGGCCUGCAGCUAAAUUGUUCGAGAAACAUAGAGAACUCGUCGGCAUUAACAUAUACAAAUCACAUGGCAGGUCUAAGUAUAUGCAUAGAUUGACAGUGAAUCAGGUUCCUCGUUGGACAGUAUUGCAUAAAGUUCAUCAAAUUGUAAAUUAGUUUUGGCAAAAUAUAUCUACUGCUGAAAUCN
rnacentral:lncRNA from 1 species